rnacentral:rRNA from 1 species
GACGAACCGUGCGAACGUUAUUCGGAAUCACUGGGCUUAAAGCGCGUGUAGGCGGAUGGGAACGUCGGUAGUUGAAAGCCCCCGGCUCAACCGGGGAAGUGGUGCCGAAACGACCCGUCUGGAGGGACGUAGGGGGACCUGGAACUUCCGGUGGAGCGGUGAAAUGCGUUGAGAUCCACAGGAACUCCGGUGGCGAAGGCGGCAUCCUGGACCGGCAUUGACGCUGAGGCGCGAAAGCCAGGGGAGCAAACGGG